AGGACGAACGCUGGCGGCGUGCUUAAUACAUGCAAGUCGAACGAGGUUCACUUCGGUGAAUCUAGUGGCGAACGGGUGAGUAACACGUGAGCAACCUGCCCCGAAGACCGGGAUAACAGUGGGAAACCGCUGCUAAUACCGGAUACCCCCAUUGGAUCCCAUGGUCCGAUGAGGAAAUGGAUUCCGCUUCGGGAGGGGCUCGCGGCCUAUCAGCUUGUUGGUGGGGUAACGGCCUACCAAGGCUUCGACGGGUAGCUGGUCUGAGAGGACGAUCAGCCACACUGGGACUGAGACACGGCCCAGACUCCUACGGGAGGCAGCAGUAGGGAAUCUUGCGCAAUGGGCGAAAGCCUGACGCAGCAACGCCGCGUGAGGGAUGGAGGCCUUCGGGUUGUAAACCUCUUUCAGCAGGGACGAUUGUGACGGUACCUGCAGAAGAGCCCCGGCAACUACGUGCCAGCAGCCGC
rnacentral:rRNA from 1 species